UCAGUUUCUUUUGCAUUUUAAUAUUUCCUAUACAUUGAGGACAAUGCAUGAUUUAGGUGUGGGGUGCAUAUCUCUGAAUUUUACUUUUCAGUUUAUUUUUGCUUUAAUUUUUAGUUUGCUUGCAGUAGGUGAAUUUUUUUUUCAUUUUUAUUAUUUUUGCUUUCAAUAACAUACACAUGUAGCCACAGUUUUUGUUUUUGUUUUGAUUUGCUCUACUCAAACUGAUAGACUAUGUUAAAUGAGCUUUUUCUUUCCAUGACCCC
rnacentral:lncRNA from 1 species